CUUCCAGUGCUAUAGAACAGAAGGGCAAAACUGAGCAAAAAGAACCACUAAGGGUAAAACUGAGCACAUCACCAAAAUAGAGGGCACCACCUUAAAAAACCCAAAGAAAAAGGGAGAUUCUUCUUGAGAGUGACUCUGAUGAUGACUCGGAUGAGGAAGUGCCUCCAAAGUCAAAGGCUCCAGCAGCAACUAUCAAAAAGAAAGAUUCCAGUGAAAGUGAGUCCGAGAGUGAUUCUGAGGUUGAGGAUGCAAGUAAAACUCAUCCUACCAAGAGAGCUGCUUCAAAAAUGAAAGAUGAAUCAAGUGAUGACUCAGACACUGAUGAUGAUGAAGAACCUCCUCAAAAGAAGU